rnacentral:rRNA from 1 species
UACGUAGGGGGCAAGCGUUGUCCGGAUUUAUUGGGCGUAAAGAGCUCGUAGGCGGUUUGGCAAGUCAGAUGUGAAAUCUCCAGGCUCAACCUGGAGGGGUCAUCUGAUACUGCCAUGACUAGAGGUCGGUAGGGGAGUGUGGAAUUCCUGGUGGAGCGGUGAAAUGCGCAGAUAUCAGGAGGAACACCGGUGGCGAAGGCGCCACUCUGGGCCGAAACUGACGCUGAGGAGCGAAAGCGUGGGUAGCAAACAGG